GACGAACGCUGGCGGCGUGCUUAACACAUGCAAGUCGAACGGAAAGGCCCUGCUUUUGUGGGGUGCUCGAGUGGCGAACGGGUGAGUAACACGUGAGUAACCUGCCCUUGACUUUGGGAUAACUUCAGGAAACUGGGGCUAAUACCGGAUAGGAGCUCCUGCUGCAUGGUGGGGGUUGGAAAGUUUCGGCGGUUGGGGAUGGACUCGCGGCUUAUCAGCUUGUUGGUGGGGUAGUGGCUUACCAAGGCUUUGACGGGUAGCCGGCCUGAGAGGGUGACCGGCCACAUUGGGACUGAGAUACGGCCCAGACUCCUACGGGAGGCAGCAGUGGGGAAUAUUGCACAAUGGGCGGAAGCCUGAUGCAGCAACGCCGCGUGCGGGAUGACGGCCUUCGGGUUGUAAACCGCUUUCGCCUGUGACGAAGCGUGAGUGACGGUAAUAGGUAAAGUAGCACCGGCUAACUACGUG
rnacentral:rRNA from 1 species